CGCAAUCUAUAAACGAUCGACGAUGACUUUAAUACAUAGAUUAAUGUCGAAAAUAUGUUUUUUAUGACAGUAUACAUUAGUUUAUAAAGAUAACAGCCGAUUUUCGGAUGAGAGGUGGAACAAGGUCGAUCACUUCAUCGCAGCGGGGCAUCCUGAGAAAUGGUCGAGAUUGCUGGUGUAGAGCGGAAUGUCAAAUAGUUUGUUACAGUGCUGUACCUCUGUCAUCGGUCCAUGAUACUCUGCGGGAAUGCGACGUAUCUUAUGGUAGUUACCAAAGUGUAGAAGAUAAUGGGAUGCCACCAAGUUACAAUGACGAGAGUCGAAGAGUUAUGGCAGAUCCGUAUGGCUAGUUAUAUUCGAAAUGUAGGAUUGAUUGGCUGUUAUUGCCAGGAUAUAAUUAAAUGCAAACCUUUCGUGUUAUCACGUUGAUAAGAUUAGUCUAGUGGCAUCCGUUUUGCG
rnacentral:lncRNA from 1 species